GGAAGUAAAAGUCGUAACAAGGUCUCCGUUGGUGAACCAGCGGAGGGAUCAUUACUGAGUUUACGCUCUACAACCCUUUGUGAACAUACCUAUAACUGUUGCUUCGGCGGGUAGGGUCUCCGCGACCCUCCCGGCCUCCCGCCUCCGGGCGGGUCGGCGCCCGCCGGAGGAUAACCAAACUCUGAUUUAACGACGUUUCUUCUGAGUGGUACAAGCAAAUAAUCAAAACUUUUAACAACGGAUCUCUUGGUUCUGGCAUCGAUGAAGAACGCAGCGAAAUGCGAUAAGUAAUGUGAAUUGCAGAAUUCAGUGAAUCAUCGAAUCUUUGAACGCAUAUUGCGCCCGCCAGCAUUCUGGCGGGCAUGCCUGUUCGAGCGUCAUUUCAACCCUCAAGCUCUGCUUGGUGUUGGGGCCCUACAGCCGAUGUAGGCCCUCAAAGGUAGUGGCGGACCCUCCCGGAGCCUCCUUUGCGUAGUAACUUUACGUCUCGCACUGGGAUCCGGAGGGACUCUUGCCGUAAAACCCCCCAAUUUUCCAAAGGUUGACCUCGGAUCAGGUAGGAAUACCCGCUGAACUUAAGCAUAUCAAUAAGCGGAGGA
rnacentral:rRNA from 1 species